rnacentral:rRNA from 1 species
UACGGGGGGGGCAAGCGUUGUUCGGAAUUACUGGGCGUAAAGGGCUCGUAGGCGGCCAACUAAGUCGGAUGUGAAAUCCCCAGGCUUAACCUGGGAACUGCGUCUGAUACUGGAUGGCUUGAGUCCGGGAGAGGGAUGCAGAAUUCCAGGUGUAGCGGUGAAAUGCGUAGAUAUCUGGAGGAAUACCGGUGGCGAAGGCGGCAUCCUGGACCGGCAUUGACGCUGAUGAGCGAAAGCUAGGGGAGCAAACAGG